UCCCAGGGUGCUCAGCGGCCGUGGCACGAGGUGAGAGGGAUCAGGCAGCGAGGGUGGAUGGGGUAAACAGGAAGUGGAGGAGGAAGUACCUUGCGACUGUUGAUCCUCUUUAUCAGGUCCACCGCCCAGCGGUGACUGGGGUCAGCACAGAACAUCCUGCCCCUUCUCAAGGAAUCACCAGUCCCUCCUUCAUUCCGUUCUGGGGAACCUUGAACCUUGGAGGAGACUCUUGCCAAAUUUCUCAGUCCCCUGUGAACCAGAAGCACCUGAGAGUGGAGCGGCAUGAACUAUGGCGGACAUUUUCACUGUCCUAGGACACGGCUAUCUUCAGCAAAAAAACUCCUAAAAACAAAAACACAACACAAAAACAACAACUGCGCUGAUUCACCUGUAGGUGCUCUGCACGCCUUUACCUGAGUCUCACCUGCUCCCUGCAGGUAGGAUUGUAAAUAAUCCUGGUUCAUUUCUAAAGUAAAUGUGCUCAGACCCCUGAAUGUAUAAAAGCUAAAUAUGUUUCAUUCUAUAACUGACAUUGCAUUGUGCAAACCUGAAAAGAGGCUGUUGCACUGAAGGAGAGAAUGUUCUCUCGCUUUCGAUUUCUCAUUGUGUUCGCUGAUAAUCACACCCUCGUUCAACCAGA